GAGUUUGAUCGUGGCUCAGGACGAACGCUGGCGGCGUGCUUAACACAUGCAAGUCGAACGAGAAUCUACUGAAAGAGUUUUCGGACAAUGGAAGUAGAGGAAAGUGGCGGACGGGUGAGUAACGCGUGAGGAACCUGCCUUGAAGAGGGGACAACAGUUGGAAACGACUGCUAAUACCGCAUGAUGCAUAAGGGUCGCAUGAUUCUUAUGCCAAAGAUUUAUCGCUUCAAGAUGGCCUCGCGUCUGAUUAGCUAGUUGGCGGGGUAACGGCCCACCAAGGCGACGAUCAGUAGCCGGACUGAGAGGUUGAACGGCCACAUUGGGACUGAGAUACGGCCCAGACUCCUACGGGAGGCAGCAGUGGGGAAUAUUGGGCAAUGGGCGCAAGCCUGACCCAGCAACGCCGCGUGAAGGAAGAAGGCUUUCGGUAUGUAAACUUCUGUCAGCAGGGAAGAAAAUAGACGGUACCUGACUAAGAAGCCCCGGCUAACUACGUGCCAGCCGCCGCGGUAAAACAAGGC
rnacentral:rRNA from 1 species